CUCAGUGUGUGAGAGAUCUCGGAGGUUCAGGUUGCUAUAUUCCACUAUCUGCUUCUCCAUCCCCUCCGACCACCUGACAAUUAUUGGUCUCCAAGUGGAGACGAUGUCUCUGUUUCCUUCUCAUUCGGAAAUGGAUGGGUGGACAGAUGCAACACACUGAAAGAACAGCUGUACAGAAGCCUAGAAAACGUUCCUGCCGCUGCCAACACAAACGGACAAACAAAGGACAGGAUUUCUCUGUGUAGCCCUGACUUUCCUGGGACUCACAGAGAUGUGUCUGCCUGCCUAUCUCCCUCCGCCCAAGUGCUAAUUAACCAUCCAGCAUUAGUGGGGAAUUCUACCUUCAGUGGUAAUGUUUAGACUUUAAUCACUUUUUUGUGCAGUAGAAACCCUUGUUGAUCUCCUCUGCACUCAAUCCAAUGUCAACUCUGUUGCUUUGCCUUUCUCCCCGCCCACCAUUAGUCAGCCGUGUGACCCUGGGUCAGUUAGCUAAACUUCAGUUGCUCUGUAUUUUAUUAGCUUUAUCUUUACUGUCUUUAUUUACACAUUGAGGAAUAUGAAGUUGAUAAGUUUAGACCUGUCUUAAGUUUUGGUAAGGAAAAUGCUUCAUAUAUUUGCGGGCUUUUAGAAUUUGGGGAAACACUUCAUAGACAGUAGUCAUUCAAUAAAUAACAACUCUGAGUGUGUUGGCCCUUGCCUUUCCUAAGGACUGCUCAUUAGUGGAAAAGGAGGGAGGCAAUCUCGUUAGUCUUUUGUUUUUUGAAAAAUAUAUACUCUUAUUUUAGGUGUAUGAGUUUUUUGUUGUUGUUGUUUUGUUUUGUUUUGUUUUGUUUUGUUUUGUUUUUUGCCUGCAUGUCUGUGCACCAAGUGUGCGAAGUGCCUACACAGGCCAGAAAGGGCACUGGAUUCCCCUCCCCUGGAACUAGGGUUACGGCUGCCAAUGGAUGCAGGGCACUGAAUCUGAGUCCUCUGAAGGAGCAGCAAGUGCUCUUACUUACUGAGCCAUCUCUGCGGACCCUUUUAUUUUCCUUUAAAGUUUAAAACAGUGCAACAAUUGCUUUGGGUCUUAAAACUUCUUUCUCAUUUUCAUUCAUUCCCACAUUGGUUUUCUUUCUUCCUUCUAGGAAAACCCUGCCCUGGUGAUUGGGUGCAGAAACAAGGGAAAUGCUACAAGUUGUACAUUUUUAGGUUUAGACAAAAGAAGUCAGAAGCGUUUUUUUUUUUUUGUAUAUUUUUUUUCAUUUUUUUUUAUUAACUUGAGUAUUUCUUAUAUACAUUUCAAGUGUUAUUCCCUUUCCCGGUUUCCGGGCAAACAUCCC
ensembl:lncRNA